GACGAACGCUGGCGGCGUGCCUAAUACAUGCAAGUAGAACGCACAGUUUAUACCGUAGCUUGCUACACCAUAGACUGUGAGUUGCGAACGGGUGAGUAACGCGUAGGUAACCUGCCUGGUAGCGGGGGAUAACUAUUGGAAACGAUAGCUAAUACCGCAUAAUAUUGAUUAUUGCAUGAUAAUUAAUUGAAAGGUGCAAUUGCACCACUACCAGAUGGACCUGCGUUGUAUUAGCUAGUAGGUGAGGUAACGGCUCACCUAGGCGACGAUACAUAGCCGACCUGAGAGGGUGAUCGGCCACACUGUGACUGGGACACGGCCCAGUCGCCCUCGGGAGGCAGCAGUAGGGAAUCUUCGGCAAUGGACGCAAGUCUGACCGAGCAACGCCGCGUGAGUGAAGAAGGUUUUCGGAUCGUAAAGCUCUGUUGUAAGAGAAGAACGGGUGUGAGAGUGGAAAGUUCACACUGUGACGGUAUCUUACCAGAAAGGGACGGCUAACUACGUG
rnacentral:rRNA from 1 species